GUCCGUGUUUAAAAUCAGUUGUGUGUGAAAAGGCCAUUUAUUGUUAACCAUCUUAAAAUAUAAAGCGCAUAUUAGUUGUAACCUUGACCUUUUGUCAGUUGUAGAUAACAUGAAAACAAAUUCUAUAUGGCUGUUCAAAUGACUCAAUUUUAAAAUUCAGGGAUAUGUUUCAGUUAGUUGUGCCUCUGUCAAUGACUGCAGUAUAAGCU
rnacentral:lncRNA from 1 species